AAGAGCGGAAAAGCAUCACUGGACCAGCCACGAGAGCACGGUGAAGGAUGCAGCUGUAUCCAUGUUUUGUUCAUGAGAUCCGUCUCCCCAAAGUUACUAAGAAGGGGUUCUUGCAUCCAUCUCAGGAGACACACCUCCCUCUGCUGUUCAUCCUCUGGACCAGAGCAACCAGUGUGCAUAUGGAGAAGACAUCAUUUGUCGUAGCAUUGUCCAAAGGAGGCGGCACAGGUUGGGACAUCAGCAGCUGGAAGAAUCAGCACUAAUCUAAGCAUCUAAGGUGUGGAAGCAGCCUAAAUGCUCAUGGAACUGGUCCCCUGGCUGAAUCCACAAUGAAUUCAAGCCCAAAGGCAAUCUCCUAGCAGAGUUCCUUUGAAGGAGAUUGGUUUUCUUUCCAAUGUUCAAGCAUGAAGAGUGAUCUGGCAGGCCAGUACCUUCCACCUUCACCCUUCUGUGAGGUUUGCACAGCAUAAGAAGACGCUCUGAUUGUGCAGAUAUGAGGUGGUCGUGCCCAGAGCUCAGAGGCCCUACUAUCGCUCCCAGGAAACGAGCUCAAGAAAGAAGCUGUCCCUGACACUCCAGAGAGAAGUUAUAAGGGCAGGCCAGUACUUUCCACCUUCACCCUUCUGUGAGGUUUGCAAGCUCCUCUGAAGACCUCAGAAGAAGAAAGUUCUCAUCACCUGUAGAAGGGCCUUUCAGAGAAAAACUGCAAAAUUAUUACCACUGGGGAGGUGCCAAACUUGAUUUUUGGAGCACAGCCUGAUUUUUUUCAAGUACAUCAAGGCUUUCAUCAAUGCUGAGAGAAUGUCCUAUCAGCAGCAGCAACAAAUGCAAACUUCCCUGCCAGCCCCCUCCUCAGGUCCUGCAGCCGUGUCUUCCCAAGGUGGCUGAGCCUUGUCCUCCCAGAAUACCUGAGUCCUGCCCUCCAACCUCAGCCAGCAGAAGUGCCCUCUGUGCAGCAUCCUGCAUGCCAAUAGAAAUGCCUGCCAAAGCAGAAACAAAACAUCAGAAGCCACCACAUCCUUUAGGACCACAUCCUUCUGGACAGGAAGGUGCCAAGUCCUCUCCCUACCAGUGCGCUACUCCCUUCUUUUAGCAACCAUAAAGAAUGACACACAGCCCAGGAAAAUCGACCUCUCGGCUGACCCAAGGAGAAUGAUACCUCCAUUCAAGGUUUUCUUGUAGUGGAUCAGCAGAUCCCUCUGAGCUUCAACCUGUAGCAACCGACAGAGAAUAAUAGAAGUAUUAUGCGACAAAGCUUCCCCUGGAGCCUUAUGAACUGUAUUCACUGUGGCCAGGGCAAGCUGCUCUUCCAGCCGCUCCCUCCCCAGCCCUACUGCUUCUGCUAGUCUGAGAAGAACAUUAAAGUCAGGGAGUCUCAGCGAUGCCCCUGAGGCUCUGAGAAGCCAAAAGGCAUUAACUGCCUUGAGUGGAAAACUACCCCAACUUCCUGCCUUCCCUUACUUGUUAAUUAGUAUGGUGAAAUCUAUUUCAAAUCACCAAUUCUUUAUUUGUAAAGGCAGCUGACUUUGCCUCUGGACUUUAAGCCUGGAAGCUCCUAGCCCUUUGUGAUACUCUCACUUUUAACUUCCCUCUCUUUCAAUAAAUCCAGUUGCUCGCGUGUG